rnacentral:rRNA from 2 species
UGUGAAGAUGCAGUGUACCCGCGGCAAGACGGAAAGACCCCGUGAACCUUUACUAUAGCUUGACACUGAACAUUGAGCCUUGAUGUGUAGGAUAGGUGGGAGGCUUUGAAGUGUGGACGCCAGUCUGCAUGGAGCCGACCUUGAAAUACCACCCUUUAAUGUUUGAUGUUCUAACGUGGACCCGUUACCCGGGUUGCGGACAGUGUCUGGUGGGUAGUUUGACUGGGGCGGUCUCCUCCUAAAGAGUAACGGAGGAGCACGAAGGUUGGCUAAUCCUGGUCGGACAUCAGGAGGUUAGUGCAAUGGCAUAAGCCAGCUUGACUGCGAGCGUGACGGCGCGAGCAGGUGCGAAAGCAGGUCAUAGUGAUCCGGUGGUUCUGAAUGGAAGGGCCAUCGCUCAACGGAUAAAAGGUACUCCGGGGAUAACAGGCUGAUACCGCCCAAGAGUUCAUAUCGACGGCGGUGUUUGGCACCUCGAUGUCGGCUCAUCACAUCCUGGGGCUGAAGUAGGUCCCAAGGGUAUGGCUGUUCGCCAUUUAAAGUGGUACGCGAGCUGGGUUUAGAACGUCGUGAGACAGUUCGGUCCCUAUCUGCCGUGGGCGCUGGAGAACUGAGGGGGGCUGCUCCUAGUACGAGAGGACCGGAGUGGACGCAUCACUGGUGUUCGGGUUGUCAUGCCAAUGGCACUGCCCGGUAGCUAAAUGCGGAAGAGAUAAGUGCUGAAAGCAUCUAAGCACGAAACUUGCCCCGA